AAACAUUUCAAUGGAAUAUAUCCUGUCGUAUGAUGCCUCCAUUUCAAAUGAGCUUAUGUCUGCAACAAUGAUCUCCACAUUCUGUAACUGAUGAUCCCUGUUAAGGUAACAAAAAAUAGUUUCAAAACUCAAAGCAAUUAACAUGUUAAUACUAUCAUUUAUACAUAGCAAGUAGCAUAUUUACCGGCAUUGCUCCUCUAUAAAAGCUUUCUGUGUGGUGGAAUUGCAGAUUCCUGUGACCCUGCAAUUGGGAUAUUUCCGGGCAAUGUGCAGAGAAAGUGAACCCCAUCCACACCCCACAUCAAGAACUGUGUGCCCAUCUUUCAAUUGCGACCUCUCACAGUACAGCUCUAACAUUGCUUCCUCAGCAUCCUCCAA
rnacentral:lncRNA from 1 species